UACGGGGGGAGCAAGCGUUGUUCGGAUUUACUGGGCGUAAAGGGCGGGUAGGCGGCCACCGCAAGUCAGUUGUGAAAUCUCUGGGCUUAACCCAGAAAGGUCAACUGAUACUGCGGGGCUAGAGUGCAGAAGGGGCAACUGGAAUUCUCGGUGUAGCGGUGAAAUGCGUAGAUAUCGAGAGGAACACCUGCGGCGAAGGCGGGUUGCUGGGCUGACACUGACGCUGAGGCGCGAAAGCUAGGGGAGCGAACGGG
rnacentral:rRNA from 1 species